AUCCAACUGACGAGUCCCAAACGGGAUGAGAUGCGCAUCCUGGAU
rnacentral:hammerhead_ribozyme from 1 species